UCCACGUUCACGCAAAUCAAACAGAGCCCCGAGCGAAAGCUACGCGAAAUCGAGUCACACUUUUCAGUUGACUUUCAGCUACUGCUACUGCUGCUGCUUCUCCCAGCUCGGUCUCUGUGCCUGGCCACCCCUAAGCCAGCCUUUUACCGUCAACCCAGACAAGUCUGCUAUAUUUUGAAAAUGUAAGCCCACCACUUAAACUUGGUAAAUUGGCGUAGCCCUGACAAGCAGAAACUACAUAUGUUCAGCUCGAACUCUUCAUCGAAUAGCUCAGGGCAUAAAUAAUUCAGCAAACGGAGAUUGGCGAUUGGCGAUUGGCGCCACUGGGCGCUGAUAAGAUGUGCGAUACGGAUAAGGAAUACGAUUAGCGGAUGUUCUGCUUCCGCGGUGGAGUGGAAACGGAAACGGAAAAGCAUUUCCUGGCAUACAUAGUACCACCUGAAGUGCGAUGGUCCUCAAACGGAAGAUGGCCACCGGCACUUCAAUCGCAGAGAGCGCAAUUUAUUGAGGUUAAAAGCGGUCACCAGCCAC